GGAAGGAUCAUUACUGAGGUUUUUAGGCGCCCGCCGCCUAUCACCCGUCCUUGUGUCAUCGAAUCUCAGAGGGGUGGGCCUGUCUCCGGACGGGUCGACCCGCUGAAGCAAACUUCGGCGGAGGAGUCGGGGCUCGCGCCCCGGCCGCCGCCGGCAAACAAACUCUCUGUGGCAGCCUGAAGUUCACAAAACAUACCAAAUAAAGCAAAACUUUCAACAACGGAUCUCUUGGCUCUGGCAACGAUGAAGAACGCAGCGAAACGCGAAAGGUAAUGCGAAUUGCAGAAUCAGUGAGUCAUCGAAUCUUUGAACGCACAUUGCGCCUCUCGGUAUUCCGGGAGGCACGCCUGUUCGAGCGCCAUUACAAACUCCAAGCCUGGCUUGAUGUUGGACGCCGGCGGUCUCCUCGCGAGGCUGCCCGUCUGGAACGCAUGGGCGCCCGCCGCCGGACCACAAGCGUAGCAAGACUUUCAUUAGUUACCCCGCUGAGUGGCCUCCGACGGCAGGCAUGCCUGAACCCAACCUUACCAAGUUUGACCUCGAAUCAGGCAGGGAUACCCGCUGAACUUAAGCAUAUCAAUAAGCGGAGGAAAAGAAACCAACAGGGAUUGCCUCAGUAACGGCGAGUGAAGCGGCAACAGCUCAAAUUUGAAAUCUGGCGUCUUCGGCGUCCGAGUUGUAAUUUGUAGAGGGAGUCUCGGGCCGAUGACCGGUCCAAGUGCCUUGGAACAGGAUACCGCAGAGGGUGAGAGUCCCGUAUCCGGCCGGUGCAGACGUCCAUGUGAGACCCCUUCGACGAGUCGAGUUGUUUGGGAAUGCAGCUCUAAGCGGGUGGUAAAUUCCAUCUAAAGCUAAAUACUGGCCAGAGACCGAUAGCGAACAAGUAGAGUGAUCGAAAGAUGAAAAGCACUUUGAAAAGAGAGUCAAACAGUACGUGAAAUUGUUGAAAGGGAAGCGUAUACGGCCAGACUUGGUCGCGGAGGCUCAUCCCGUCUUCUGGCGGGUGCACUCCUCCGCGGACAGGCCAGCAUCGGUUUUUGGGGUCAGACAAAGGCGGCGGGAAUGUGACUCCCCUCGGGGAGUGUUAUAGCCCGCCGUGCAAUGUGGCCACCGGGGACCGAGGACCGCGCUCUGCAAGGAUGCUGGCGUAAUGGCCUUAUACGGCCCGUCUUGAAACACGGACCAAGGAGUCUAACAUCUAUGCGAGUGUUUGGGUGUCAAACCCGAGCGCGCAAUGAAAGUGAACGGAGGUGGGAGCUGCGGCGCACCAUCGACCGAUCCUGAUGUCUUCGGAAGGAUUUGAGUACGAGCAUAGCUGUUGGGACCCGAAAGAUGGUGAACUAUACGUGGGCAGCCCGAAGCCAGGGGAAACCCUGGUGGAAGGGCGGCGGGGUUCUGACGUGCAAAUCGAUCUUCUGACCUGCGUAUAGGGGCGAAAGACUAAUCGAACCAUCUAGUAGCUGGUUCCUGC
rnacentral:misc_RNA from 1 species